AUUGUCUGCCCAUAAAUCUCUAAGAAACCCUUUCUCUCACAUCUCUCUACAUUCCUACUCUUCGAGAUCCACCAUUCGUCCCCAAUUUCCGCCGCCUAAACCCUAGUUUCCAUCGCCGGAGCUACUGGUAUUCGCUCGGUAAGUAGAGAGAGAAACAAAAUCGACUCCGGUUUCUCUCUCGUGCUCUGUUCAGGCGCAUCUGUAAAGCUUUGAGUCCAGGUCUGUUAGUGAGAUCACUGACCGAUAAUGGCGUCGGCGGCAGAGGCAGCGGCAGCGGCAGCGGCUCAGCUACCUGUUUCUGCGCAAGUUGUGGCAAACGCAUUUGUGCAGCAGUACUAUCGGAUUCUGCACCAUUCGCCAGGAGUCGUUCAUCAUUUUUAUCAGGACAUAAGUAAGCUUGGUCGUCCUGAGGAGGAUGGCUCCAUGAGCAUCACCACCACUAUGCAAGCUAUCCAUGAGAAGAUUGUCUCACUCAAGUAUGGUGACUUCAGAGCUGAGAUUAAGUCGGUGGAUGCACAGGACUCAUUUAAUGGUGGAGUGGAUGUUCUUGUAACUGGCUAUCUUACAGGGAAGGAGAACACUGUCCGAAAUUUUGCUCAAUCUUUCUUCCUCGCGCCUCAAGACAAGGGAUACUUUGUUUUGAACGACAUGUUCCGGUAUGUGGAUGUUGUUAAUGUGAACCCAGCCUUGGUCAAUGAUGUGCUGGUGCCUGCUCCUGCUCCUGCUGAACCACUAUUAGCAGUUGCUGAACCAAUUCAGGAAAAUCAUGUUUCUGAGCGAAGCACACCAUCUGCUGAGGAAGCGAUCAGUGGAGAAGUUAUCAACCCACCGGAGAAUGGAGAUGUGCCGAUUGCUGAAGAAGAAGUCCCUGUGGCUGAGGUUGUUGAUGAAGUGCAAGAUGAUAGAGAAAUAAUUGUUGAAUCCAGUGCCAAAAUUGAGGAACUGCCAAAGAAGUCUUAUGCCUUUAUCGUGAAGCAUCUCAAGGAAAGUGGUGUAAUUCUCUCGCCCCCAGUGACUGCUCUUCGUAAAGCUCCACCAAAGAAAAUUGAGCAAGUGAAACAUAAUUCAGCCCCACCAACCGAUGGACCAGUUUCAAGUUUGGAGUCUGUUGAUAAUGGGAAUAGCCAAGAGGAUGAAGCUGAUGGUUACUCAGUAUAUAUAAAAGGCCUUCCGAUGAACGCUACUGAUUCCAUACUUGAGGAAGUAUUCAAGAAAUUUGGCGCUAUCAAGAGUGACGGGAUUCAAGUUAGAAGCAACAGACAACAAGGUUUCUGUUUUGGAAUACACUCCGGGUGAGGAGGCAAGUUCUCUGCAAAAAGCUCUCGAGGCUUCUCCAGUGACAGUUGGUGGGCGCCAAGUGUUUGUUGAAGAGAAGAGGUCUACAAAUUCCCGAGGAAAUAACAGGGGAAGAUUUCAACCUGGACGAGGUUCCGGAUUCAGAAACGAGGGCGUACGAGGAAGAGGAAAUUACGGAGGGGGCAGAGGGGGUUACAACAGGGGCGAAUUGAACGGCAGGAGUGAGUAUGGUAAUAACAGAGGUGGCAAUCGAGGAGGAUAUCAAAGGUCUGAAAGUGUCAACGGUGGUGCAAAGAAUAUGACGCCUAGGGUUUCUGCAACUGCUUGAGGAGUUUCGGGUAGGAUUUAUUCUUGUUCUUUUUUCUCUUUUCUUUCAAUUUCUGGUAUUUAUUUUACAUCAUUGAACGUCUUUGGGUUGACAGUUUUAUCACACAUGUGAAUUGUCUGAAAUGCCCUCCCCUAAUCUGUUCACAUUUUUUCCCGUUUGUGGGUAUAGUGGGUGAGUAGAUGAGAUUUAAGUAGGUUUCGUGUUUUUUUUUUCUUUUUUUUGUUUGGUAGUGUACACCUAAGGUCAUCGUCCCCAGGAGGGAAUAGAUUCUCGAGACAUUUAGAAGUUUUUGUAUUUGAGGUAUAAGUUAUGGGGGCCGUAUUGCCCUUCUUUGAUGUAUUGGAAUAAAAUUCCGCACUUAUUUUUUAUCGAACUACUUAUGGUUUACUAAGGUUAAUGGUUUU